UGCACAUGCAAGUCUGGGACAAACGAUUUGAAAAAUUUUAAAAAAAUCGCUGACACAAAAAAUGAGAUAUUUACAGAUGUAAUGAUAGAGCUGGUGACCAAUAAAACACAUGUCACUGUUUGCUUUGAGGAAGCAAAUUCCUGUCCUGAGGGAAUUUGUAGUAUCUUCUGGCACAAACCUGUGGGAUCAGGACUCUCGUGUGGCAUCCUGAAUUCUGGAGAAAAUGGAAGAGGUGGCGUCAGUACUGAGCAGAAGACGAUUUGCUGUGAGGCAGAGACAGAUACCAAGAAAUACAACCCUGAACUGAAGUGUUUCUACACUCAAAAGUCACAUCCAAAACUCACCUCACCACCAGCUGGUGAGGAAAUUACAGGUAAUCCGAAAGUUCCUACCUGCAAAACGAACAGCACUGGCACGUGGAUUGGCAUCUUGUUUGCAGUCCUGUUUGUUGGGGUUUGCACAGGAUGGGCCUCCAUGUAUUACUUGCGGCUGCGGGGUGGCAAAAUUUACUCUAAAGGUACAGUCUGAGAAGUUUUGUGUUGCCUGUGGGAGGAAGUUUUACCUGGAAGUGGAAAAAGCAAAGAGGGUUUGCCUUCUGGAUCUCAUCUCCAUUGUCCAUGCAGUCCUUUAUGAUCUUCACUGGGCUGACAG